CACAGCCACGGCGCCCCUUCAGCCUCGUACACACCACUGGGCCCUCCUUCUCGUUACACAGCCCAUGUGGGGGACGGGCCCCUUAAGCCUCGUACACGCCCCAUGGGCCCCUUCAGCCUCGUACACAGCCACCUGGGCCCCUUCAGCCUCGUACACAGCCACAUGGGCCCUUCAGCCUCGUGCACAGCCACAUGGGCCCCCUUCAGCCUCGUUGCACAGCCACAUGGGACCUUCAGCCUCGUGCACAGCCACCAUGGGGACCUUCAGCCUCGUGCCACAGCCAUGGGCCCACUUUCAGCCUCCGUGCACAGCCACUGGCCAGCUUCAGC
rnacentral:lncRNA from 1 species